rnacentral:rRNA from 1 species
GUACACUCCUGCGGGAGGCAGCAGUGGGGAAUUUUGGACAAUGGGCGAAAGCCUGAUCCAGCAAUGCCGCGUGAGUGAAGAAGGCCUUCGGGUUGUAAAGCUCUUUUGUCAGGGAAGAAACGGUGAACGCUAAUAUCUUUUGCUAAUGACGGUACCUGAAGAAUAAGCACCGGCUAACUACGUGCCAGCAGCCGCGGUAAUACGUAGGGUGCAAGCGUUAAUCGGAAUUACUGGGCGUAAAGCGUGCGCAGGCGGUUUUGUAAGUCUGAUGUGAAAUCCCCGGGCUCAACCUGGGAAUUGCAUUGGAGACGGCAAGGCUAGAAUCUGGCAGAGGGGGGUAGAAUUCCACGUGGAGCAGUGAAAUGCGUAGAUAUGUGGAGGAACACCGAUGGCGAAGGCAGCCCCCUGGGUCAAGAUUGACGCUCAUGCACGAAAGCGUGGGGAGCAAACAGGAUUAGAAACCCCGGUAGUCCC